UGUUAAAAGAUGUUUUAAAACCGGUAUAUGGUAAAAUGAG
rnacentral:sRNA from 1 species